rnacentral:rRNA from 1 species
GUACUCCCCAGGCGGUCAACUUCACGCGUUAGUGUCGUUACUGAGUCAGUGAAGACCCAACAACCAGUUGACAUCGUUUAGGGCGUGGACUACCAGGGUAUCUAAUCCUGUUUGCUCCCCACGCUUUCGUGCAUGAGCGUCAGUACAGGUCCAGGGGAUUGCCUUCGCCAUCGGUGUUCCUCCGCAUAUCUACGSAUUUCACUGCUACACGCGGAAUUCCAUCCCCCUCUACCGUACUCUAGCUAUGCAGUCACAGAUGCAGUUCCCAGGUUGAGCCCGGGGAUUUCACAACUGUCUUACAUAACCGCCUGCGCACGSUUUACGCCCAGUAAUUCCGAUUAACGCUUGCACCCUACGUAUUACCGCGGCUGCUGGCACGUAGUUAGCCGGUGCUUAUUCUUACGGUACCGUCAUUAGCCCUCUUUAUUAGAAAAGGCCGUUUCGUUCCGUACAAAAGCAGUUUACAACCCGAAGGCCUUCAUCCUGCACGCGGCAUGGCUGGAUCAGGCUUUCGCCCAUUGUCCAAAAUUCCCCACUGCUGCCUCCCGUAGRGGUCUGGGCCGUGUCUCAGUCCCAGUGUGGCUGGUCGUCCUCUCAGACCAGCUACAGAUCGAAGGCUUGGUGAGCCUUUACCUCACCAACUACCUAAUCUGCCAUCGGCCGCUCCAUUCGCGCAAGGUCUUGCGAUCCCCUGCUUUCAUCCGUAGAUCUUAUGCGGUAUUAGCACAGCUUUCGCUGCGUUAU